rnacentral:other from 1 species
CACAGGCUACAUUGUACGUAUUUAUUUAAGUUUUAACCUCUAAUGUGAAUAUAGGGAGUUUUAAAUCGGGACCCUAAUGUCACGCCGGCCUUUGAGCGGAAGGCAGUCAGGUUUCUGCGAACACCCACUUAGUUGAAGUGGUGGUUUAAAACUUUUUUAUAGCAAAUACGGCAAAUGUGGCUAUAUU